AACAUUUUCUUUCAUAUCUUUUAUAUUUUAGGUGCCAAAGUUUUUAGUUUGUUGUGGAUGAGCUAAAUAGGUCUGUUUGUUAAAACACCACACUUUAUGUUUCCUGUUUUAAAAAGCAGUGGUUUUUAGUCUGAUUCAAAAUAAAUACAAUGGAAUCAAGUUUCUUUAAAAGAAAAAUCUUAAAUCCAAUGAAUAUGGCAGAGAUUGAAAUUACAUUACUGUUUUUAAACGCUAUCCUUCAUCAUCAAAAAGCUAAUCACGCGCCGGUGAACUGAGCUGCGUCAUUAUCCGGCACUCGGACCGACUCUUUCAGAUACUGGUUUCCCCCCCCAUCCGAAAGUUCGCUUUACGCCACUUCCUCUUUAGGAAAGACCAACGUGAGUACCGGUUUUUGCUAACCAAAGGAAAUCUGAAUAUGAAAAAAAAAGGCGAAAAGUAGAUAUAGCCUUCAGCGUUUGUCUGGCAGCGAGCUAUAUAAAGGCAGCGUCCAUCCCCGGCAGCGAGAGUGGCGCCACCAAGCGCCUUCCCCAGGAACUGCACUCAGCGUCUCCGCGUGAAGCCCCCGCAGCGUUGAACCGAGUCUGAAGGAUUUCAUAGGAACGCCCUACUUUCGGAGAGCGGGGGAAACCCGUGUACUGAUAAAGCCGCUGACUCACCAACGACUGCGAGUGGGCUUUGAGCUGCUGCUGCGCCCAACCCCGUUUCUGUGGCUCCUUAAUGCUCUCAGUGUGAAGACAAAAUCCUUAACCUCAGACUACAAAGCCAUGCCAGAUCUGUCCCCUGCCCACUGCUCAGGCCUCUCCUCGUCUGUCUUUCUCUGCUACCUCUGAUUUGCCGUCAGCCUUCCCGGCUCUCUUUCAGCCCCUGUUCUACUUCCUCUCUCCUGCUACAACAGCUUGCACAUGUUCCUUCUACUUGGAAUGUUCUUUUUUCCUAGGUAACAACUCAUCUUCAUUUUUCAGAUCUAACAAACGGAUCACUCCUCUGGUAUCUCCAACUGGUUCAAAACCUUGCUGUGGAAACGGGUGAACCACGUACUUCUCCUUCGCAGAAUUUAUCAGUUGCAAUUUAGAUUUGUGAUUACAUAAUUACUGUCUGUCUCCACCACUACGCUGAAAGCAAAUGAUAGUGGCUGUGUUUUUGUUCACAAUGUUAAGUCUCCAGGGCCUCUUUGCCCUGUGUGUGGAACAGAAGGGAAGCUCAACAAAUAUUGUGGACAUUGGUUAAAUGAAUGAAUACAUGAAUGCAUGAUUGAAUGAGGCAUGAAUGAAUAAACGUCAUAUGCUGGACCUGCA